GGGUGUGUAACUCAGCCGGCAGAGUAGCUGACUCUUAAUCAGAAGGUCGCAGGUUCGAUCCCUGUCACGCCCACCA
rnacentral:tRNA from 1 species